AUUGAACGCUGGCGGCAGGCCUAACACAUGCAAGUCGAGCGGAUGAAGGGAGCUUGCUCCUGGAUUCAGCGGCGGACGGGUGAGUAAUGCCUAGGAAUCUGCCUGGUAGUGGGGGAUAACGUCCGGAAACGGGCGCUAAUACCGCAUACGUCCUGAGGGAGAAAGUGGGGGAUCUUCGGACCUCACGCUAUCAGAUGAGCCUAGGUCGGAUUAGCUAGUUGGUGGGGUAAAGGCCUACCAAGGCGACGAUCCGUAACUGGUCUGUGAGGAUGAUCAGUCACACUGGAACUGAGACACGGUCCAGACUCCUACGGGAGACAGCAGUGGGGAAUAUUGGACAAUGGGCGAAAGCCUGAUCCAGCCAUGCCGCGUGUGUGAAGAAGGUCUUCGGAUUGUAAAGCACUUUAAGUUGGGAGGAAGGGCAGUAAGUUAAUACCUUGCUGUUUUGACGUUACCAACAGAAUAAGCACCGGCUAACUUCGUG
rnacentral:rRNA from 1 species